CCCCCUCCACCACCGCCCCCUCCUCCACACACCAACACCCGGGCAGUCCGGGGCACCCACACCCGACGGAGCCGGCAGUCCCCCCGUCCCCCCCGCACCGAGACAGGACUGAAAUCCAAACAUCAAAACCCAUCAGGUCAAUAAAUACUCUCCACCAGUUUUGCUGCUACCCAUCUUUGCACAACACCCACCUAGGUCACCCUGUGAGACACACAGAUUGCAGGGUGGAGGACGAUGAUGACAUUCACCAGUUCUGCUGCCCUGCCUCGGAAUGUAGCAGCCCGUCGUCGAGGUAACCGGGGAUCGCAGUGCCCCCCCCGAGUCGAGCCGAGCCGAGCCGAGCCGAGCCGAGCCGAGCCUGCCCCGGCCACAUGCAUGUAUGAAGACCGGCGGGCA